AGGAGAAGCUCUGGCUUUUGCAAAAGGAAGUGUCUUUCCAAAGACCUUUGGACACAUGGAGAGAGAACAAUGGGUUCUAGGGUCUUCUGCCAGGAGGAUCUAUACAAUGUGUAGACACAACCCCUCUCAAUCCAGCCCCGCUUUCCAUUUUUUUCAUUUCCUUUCCCCUCCCCCCAUCACUGCUUUCGUGGUUUCUUGGUGAUUCUCACCUCUCUGGCUGGGCCACCUGCUGCCUUGUCGUGGGAAGACAUUAGGCAUACCCCAGGUGACCUCAUCACCCCCUUCCUUGUCGCUGUGCUCCUCUUGACACCCCGGUUUUUGGAUAAUGACACCAACGUUCUGUAAGUCACCUAGUCACUAGAGCUCAGGGCAAUUUCUCCUUUUUUUCUUUUCUUUUUUUGAGACAAGUUCUGGCUCUGUCAUCUAGAUUGCAGUUCAGUAGCACGAUCUCAGCUCACUGCAGCCUCAACUUCCAGGGCUCACGUGAUCCUCCCACCUCAGCCUCCUGAGUAGCUGGGACUGCAGGUGUGUGCCACCACGCCCAGCUAUUUUUAAAUUUUUUGUAGAUAUGGGAUUUCACUAUGUUAUCCAGGCUAGUCUCUAUCUCCUGAGCUCAAGCGAUAUUCCCACCUUGGCCUCCCAAAGAUCUGGGAUUUUAGGUGUGAGCCACUGCGCCCGGCCUCACGUCCAUUUCGAUGCCUUUUGUGCCCUCGCUGGUUCCCAGACUGAGUGCAGGCUGCUUGGUUAGGAUCUCCUGCAUUCACACCCCAUUUUUCGUCCUACCUACUGCUCUGAUUUUGGUAAUUUUCUCUCAUCUGGGUUAAUACCAUACUUUCCUAACUGAACUUUCAAUAUUUUUCCUCUUUCUUUUUAAGUUUUUCUUCUACCGUGGGGCCAGAUUAAUCUCCUAAAAGGCUCUAAUCAUAACCUUGCAGUAUUAAAAACUGUCGCCAACUCUCCAUUGCCAACCCCCAAGUCCCCAGGCCACUUACAUGGACAGCACUGGGGGCUCUCCAGUCUUCUUUUCAACCGCAUCCUCGGAGGGACUAUGACGUCCCUGAGGCCAGAGCUCUUGUGCGUUUUGUGUGUGCACUUAUAGUCGUGAUUGGCACAGAGCCUGCCUGCAACAGAGUGCCUGGCAAUGAGCCCCCUACCCAGAAAUGCUGCUCCUGUCUUCCGGGAAUCCUGACUGCUUCUAAAAAAUACCCUCCAUUUUUCCUACCUCCUCCUUUGCACACGUUCUGCCUGGAACGAAUGCCCUACCGUAAGUGUCUGUUCCACGCCUACCCAUUUUCCCAGGCCCAGCCCAAAUGGCCCCUUCCUUCACAUAGCCCUCUGUGAUUCCACAGAAGGACCCGCUCACCCCCUUUCUAAAGUGCCACGGUGGUUUUUACCCUCUCAUGGCCCUUGACAUCGCUUGCACUUAUUUGGGUACUUCUCAUCUCUUGUCCAGUACGGUUUGAGCUACUUGGGGACCGGGCUAGUUUUUAUUAAUCUUUUAAAGCACCUAAUACAGUGUCUUCCUCUGGAAGGUAUUUGUUCAGUUUUAUUGAAUUGAUAAACACACGCUUGAGUCACCAGGAAAUCUUUUAUCUGCAGACUGAGUUUAUCCAUAACCAUGGCAUCUUACCGCUUAAUGAUGAUGAAUGACUUUGAGGUCAGUUAGCAUUCAGUGUACUGGCCUCACAUAAAUGAAUUAUGUGGGUGGAUCGACCAACUCUAAUAAAUGUGAACAAAUUAGCACUCGUUGUCUUACAGCAAAAAUUAUAUUGAGGUGAAUUCUGUGCCAAGUUGUGGGGCAAGACGCUGGGUGUCCCCCCAUCAGCACAUCAUGUCCUUUCUCACUCCACUGCGUUCCUCUUGACUUCUUGGUUUUUAGACGACGGCAUUUUGUAAGUCAUCCGGGCUCUAGAGCCCAGGCCCGUUUCCUUGCUUUCCUUGCUGCUUUCCAAAUUGAGCACAGUCUAUCUGUGCUGCUCUCAGUAUCCUGAGGCACAGGAUUGUUUGAACUUGGGCUGUGGGUGGGAGAUGCCAUAAAGAUGGGCCCACGAGGGCCUUUAGCGUUUCUCUAGCUAAGAGCUCUCCUGGAUCCUUCUGAGGAACCGGUUUCCUGUGAUGGUCACGAUGGGAGAGGCUGGUCAAGCCUCUGAGCCUGUGCUCAUUCCCUUCUCCUAUUUUGCGCCUCCGUGAAACUUCUGGAGCCACUGGUGGAGGUGGUUCUAAGGCUGUGGGGAGGGUCUCUGUGGUGACUCAGCACGGCAGAGGGAGAGGUCUGGCUUUCUCGGCUUCCUCUUCCGGCAGGGCCCUGAGAGGAGCUCAGGCCUCAGAGAUUUCCCAGUUCCAAUGUCCUGUCUUCUUAACAGCCCUCAGCUCACAGCUCCCCCAGAAAGUGGCCUUUAUGUGUAAGGAGCUGAGUUUUCAUCCCGGCACGUCAUUCAUCUUUCAAUGCCUUAAUUUCCUCAUCUAAUGGUGACAUCUAUUUUUGGGGGUGGUGGCAUUGUUUUUGUGGAUUAAAUGAAUGUCAUACACUUUGAGAACCAAGUGUGUUGCUGCCUGUGUUGUAAGGGUGGGCGAGGUGUCUAAGAAUUCCUUUGGGGAGGGUUAGGCCAGCUCUCUCAAUUAAGUCAGUGGCAACACUUAAUUGAAUGGUUUGGUGCACAUGAUGCUUUGAGCUCCGUGCAGUGGGGAUCCUGGAACACAUGUCAUUAGUUUGGCCCAGGCUGGGCUGAGGGCCUAUCCUGGGUGUUAUUUCAAGUUCAGUGUUGUCCAUGGAGCUGUGGCACUGAUGUAAAAUGAUUUGAUUCUUAAGAUCUUCCAGAUAAUGCUGCCCUUCCUUGGGAGCAGUGGAUUGAGGGAGAGUUGGAAGGUAUUCCCGGAAUCUAACAUCUAGGGCAGAGAGUGCCUCAUUUCCUGUCUCCCGGGCCCUUCACCACAGCGAGCUGUCAGUAGGGGGAGCUCUGUUGCUGCGGUGCUGUGGCAGAGCUUCUUGCUGACUUGGGGUGGAGGGGCUAUCUAGGGGCCUGAGGAGGGCUUAGGAGUGGCCAACAGGGGUCUCUUCUGCAGGAGGAACCUGAGGUGUCUGCUGAAGAGCAGCCAGGUCAGGAGUCAAGGGCUACAGGGUCCCCAGCUGGAUAAGAAAUGAAAACGUUGUGCCCAGUGCACCCAUGUCUGACAUAGGGAGUCUCACUAAGGUGGGGAAAAGAGAGAGGCGUGCAGCCUCACUAAGACCAGAGCUGCCGCAGCACCUGCUUGCUAGCUGAUAGAAUCCAAAAUUGCCCUCCCUCUCCACCCAGGGCUGCUUUUGGGGACUGGCUGCCGGUUGGGGAUGGGGGAGGCCAAGACAGAACUUGGAGUUCCUGCGUGUGUCCCAUGGAUGUCUCGUGCCCAUUCUUAUUGGCAGGGGAGGCACCCUGUCUUGAGUCUGGCCUUGGGAGGCGUCCUGUCCUGUCCCUGGCUGAUCUGCUGCACCUGAGGCACAAAGGUUCUAAAUGGGAGUGUCUCCAUGUGGUGAUUCAGGUUAACUGUCUUCUUGUGCACUUCAUGCCCUGGCUCAGACUGGGAAGAGAGGACAAAAUGGUCAAGGGACAUAUCCUUGUAUUCUAGCCUGUGCUUGGUGGCCAUGCGAGCGUUAGGGCGAUAGAUGCCUGUGUGUGCAUGCAUUUCUUAGACUCUUGGGGUGGCAGGGUGGGGUGAGCACUACGGAUGUCCAUCUUGAAUAUUCAGCAGGAGAGCACCUGGGUGGUCUCAGAAAUGGCCCAGCAGUCAUUUCUCAUGAGCACGAGAGGAAGUCCAGCAGAAGUGGGUCGGUGUGGUCUUGUUCAGAACCUCUCUGCCCUUACUGGGGACCUCCAAGUUCAGUUUUUGUGCCCUGAAUAUUUAGGUUGAGAUUGAGCUUGGUGCAGGUUGGCUCAGAGAUGGAGGAAGGAUUUGCUGGGACUCUCUUAUGAAGGUCUCUGAGACCAGAAGACCAUCCCCUGCAUCCUUCGGUUUUGGGAUAAAACAACAGGCUGACUUGAAGCAGUUUAGGAGAAUCCUGCUGGGAUGAUGAUAGAUUAGAGAUUCUCUCUGGGUGCAUAGAGAAGGGACUGUUUUCCUGUUUGUAGUGGAAUUUGCACCAAACAUCUGAGUUUCAGAGAUGGAGAGAGGCCGACUUGCUUUUCAGCAGCAUCUGGGUUCUUUUAAUUCCCAUGAGCUUGGUCUCAAUAGUAUCAUGAAAAAUUGCUGUGACCUGCUAUGCCUACUACCUUUUGUAAGCCUUAGUUUAUAGUGUUGCUGGGGAAGUUAGCCCCAUUUUCUCUUUCCUGCAAGCUGGGUGGGUCUACACCUCUAAGGUGCAGACAUCAGUUAAUUGGUAGCCAGAUGGGAGCCCACAGAGACAUCCUGCCCUUCUGGAAACACACGUGCAAACCUAAAUUUUGUCUUUGCAAAUCGGUUGACUAACUCUGCUUGCUAGAAGCAAAGUAGCUCUCACGGAUUCUCCAGUGUGGAGAUUUUCAGAUCAUGAUGAAUCAGACACAAGGCCAGGCCUCCUCCUCUGUAUGGAGGCAACAUUAGGUAAAGGGGAAGGCUGAGUGCUCAGGUCAGCAUACCUAACAAUGCCAUCUUCUCCUCCCCCAAGCCCUUCUAUGGCUCUGGCUGCUAUUAGGUAGAGAGAAAAACCCUUUGGAAAGUCUACAAGGCCCUGCAUGAGGUGCCUUCUCUGAGAGCCAGGCUCUUUAGACCCAUCCCACACCCAUCUCUGGACUCCAGCCACUUGGGACCUUGGUUCAUUGAUUCUUUCCAGACUUAAGGCCUUUGCAUAAGUUGCUCCUUUUUUUUUUGGCAUGUUCUUUUCUAUCCCCAUCCCAUCCUUUUUUCUAGGUGAUUCCCAGUCAUUCUUUAGGGCCUAGCCUAGGUGGCGCUUUCCCAAGGAAGCCUUCUGGGACCUCCAAGAUUGCAUUCCAUCAUGUACUCUCAAAGGCCUUGGUAGCACUUAUUACAAUUAUUAGUGUCUUGAAUUGUAUAAUUGUUUCUUUUCUCUUUUCUCUGCUAGAAUGUAAGCUUCAAGAGGGAAAGGCCUGUUAGUUUAGUUUUUAUCCUGUUAGUCUCUCAGCCCAAUGCUUGGCACAAUUUAGGUGCUCAGUAAAAAUGUGUUGAAUGAAUGAAUGAAUGAAUGAAUGGGGUCACCAGGUUGCCACUGUAAUCCCUCUGGUCUUCUAGUAGACAAACUCCUGUCCCAAAUUGUGUCAAUGCUAUUACUUGUUCUCACUCAGUAUGGGGGAGAACCACAGGUGGGCAAAGUAGCUCUACAUACAGCUCCUAUGACUUUCGAUGCUUAACUCUUGUGAGGUGAUUAUAGUCUCAUCUCCCCCUGUUUUAUCCCCCCCCCAGAGUCUCUGCUGAGGCAGAGUCCACACCCUACUAUGACCACUGAUUUCUUCCUUCUGAUCCUUAGAUUUUUGGUUUUUGUGUGAAAAUGUGGCUUUCUCCAGGCAAAGCCCAGAAUGCCACCUGGUCCAAGGAUGAUUGUUGGCUAUGAUCUCCUCAGUUACACUUCCCGAGCUGGCUUCUCAGGCUGGUCUACCCUGCUGGAUGCAAUUUCAGGAUGAGACUGAGGAGCAGGUCGUCUAGACUGCUGGGUUGAUUUUAAAGGAAACUUUAAUAUCUCCUGGAUAAGCCAGCAAUUGGUUUCUGCAAGUCCUCCAGGACUUUGCCCUUGAGACUUGGGUUCAGAGACAGCUGAGAAGACAGACUGUGAACUUCCCUUUGCCUGGAGAACUGGACUACAGCUUAAUGGCUGGGCCCUAAGCAACUCUAGAACACCACAGUUGUCAGUUGUAGAUAUCCUUUACUCGAAGCCACUUCUGGACCUGCCUGUCCUUGGGGUCCUGGUGCUGAGUCAGCAGCACCUCCCUGCUGUCUUGGCACUGUGUGGCCAAACUAAGCCAAGUCUGACUAUAAUGAGUCGGUUCAUCUAGAAGCUCACAUCCUGUACCGUUUUCCAAUAAGACACUCAGCCAACUGGCACCCAAUAGUGAAGAGCGACUCUGAGAACCGAGGCUGCUUAGGACUCAUGACCCUGCAGGAGCCAACAGCAAAAUCUCUGUGGAGGGGGAAGCCAUCCCACUGCCAGGCCUCUCUCUCUGCUCCAUGUCAGUUCCUGUCUGGCAGUGCCAUGGCCCUGGUUGGCAGUCAGAGAUCCACUGCCGGUGCUUGCUGGUGGCUUGGCUCUCUUCCAUCUAGCCAGGGCAUUUGGACCUUUUUUCUAUGUUCUGCUAACGGGCUUGGGAAGUGAGCCAGUGGUUCUCCUUGGAAGUUGCCUCCAUCCAUGUCAUUUCCCAUCCUAGUCUCAAGGGAGACAUGUUUCUUUAUCUCUUUCGAAUUGACACCUUCUCUUGCCUUUGGAUCAAAUACAGAUACCUCCAGCGGUACCAGUGCUGUGGGGAGGCCAAGGGGCAAUGGGGUAUGUAAAGGAAGUAGUAGUAGCAACAUAGAGUUAAAUUCAGUUGCCAGUGUUGGAUGAAGCUUUGACUCUCUGGGGCUGUAAGUUAGCUAAGAUAGAAGGCGGUUACAGGCCUCGUUCUUGCCUCCUGAACUGAUUGGCUGUGGCUUUUAUCAGGAAUUCACUGGCACUUCUCUGAGCAUCAGUGUUAACUUCUAUCAUGGGCUGAAUUGUGCGCCCUCCUCCUCCUCUUCUAAGUUUACAGGUUGACUUCCUAAUCCCCAGUAUCUCAGGAUGUGACUCUAUUCGGAGGUAGGGUCUCUAAGGAGAUUAUUUAGGUAAAAUGAGGUCAUAUGAGUAGGGCCUAAUCCAAUAUGACUGGUGUCCUUAUAAGAAGAGAUUAGGAUACGGAUAGGUAUAGAGAGAAGACCAUGUGAAGACAAAGAGAGAGAGCGGCCAUCUGGAAACCAAGGAGAGGGGGUCUCAGAAGAAACAACCCCGCCGACACCUUGAUCUUGGAUUUCCAGUCUCCACAAUGAUGUGGCAGAGAGAAUGUGCAGAGGGGCCAAGAGAACAGUGUCUUAGAUGCUUCCAGUUUUCCCAGCUUCUUCAUGAACUCUCAAGAAGAGGCGAUCCACCGAUAAAAACCUAUGAAACAUG